CACGUAGGGCGCGAGCGUUGUCCGGAUUUAUUGGGCGUAAAGAGCUCGUAGGCGGCUUGUCGCGUCGAAUGUGAAAACUCGGGGCUCAACUCCGAGCUUGCAUUCGAUACGGGCAGGCUAGAGUUCGGUAGGGGGAGACUGGAAUUCCUGGUGUAGCGGUGAAAUGCGCAGAUAUCAGGAGGAACACCGGUGGCGAAGGCGGGUCUCUGGGGCCGAUACUGACGCUGAGGAGCGAAAGCGUGGGGAGCGAACAGG
rnacentral:rRNA from 1 species